rnacentral:rRNA from 1 species
UACGUAGGGUGCGAGCGUUAAUCGGAAUUACUGGGCGUAAAGUGUGCGCAGGCGGCGUUGCAAGUCGAGUGUGAAAUCCCCCGAGCUUAACUUGGGAAUUGCGCUCGAAACUACGAUGCUCGAGUAUGGCAGAGGAAGGUGGAAUUCCACGUGUAGCGGUGAAAUGCGUAGAGAUGUGGAGGAACACCGAUGGCGAAGGGCAGCCCCCUGGCUAACACUGGACGCUC